GGGGAAUUUUGCGCAAUGACCGAAAGGUUGACGCAGCAACGCCGCGUGUAUGAUGAAGGCUUUCGGGUCGUAAAGUACUUUCAGUGGGGAAGAACUGCAUAAUCAGUAACUGGGUUAUGAUUGACGGUACCCACAGAAGCAGCCCCGGCUAACUCCGUGCCAGCAGCCGCGGUAAUACGGAGGGGGCAAGCGUUGUUCGGAGUCACUGGGCGUAAAGAGCUCGUAGGCGGCAGUGUAAGUCGGGAGUUAAAGGCAACAGCUCAACUGUUGUAAGGCUUCUGAAACUACAUUGCUAGAGUGCCAGAGAGGUAUGCGGAAUUCCCUGUGUAGCGGUGAAAUGCGUAGAUAUAGGGAGGAACACCGGUUGCGAAGGCGGCAUACUGGCUGGUAACUGACGCUGAGGAGCGAAAGCGUGGGUAGCAAACA
rnacentral:rRNA from 1 species